AUGAUAUGUUUUUUUGCUUUGCACAUGCAGGAUGCCUUUAAUCAAAAGGAUUGCUUUAGUCAACCCAUAAGAUUGAUUCAUUACCUUGGAGUCCCAGAGGAAUUUUGUGUAGCAUGUUCUUCAGCUGAGCGACUACUUCAUCGGCCAAACACCCGGCUCUGCUGCAAAGAUGUCCACUGUCCAAGACCCGUGCGUAUCAUUAUUCUCCCUGUCUGUGCCGCGCAACAGCAGUUUCCUGCAGCCCUGCCUCCAUCAGCUUCUCCCUCUUCCUUGCAAUCGGUGAGUUUAGCAUACAAGCUUCAGAUUGAUAAGCUCCUAUGUACUGCUGUUCUAGACAAACAAUGA
rnacentral:rRNA from 1 species